AGCUAGCUGACGAGUCCCAAAUAGGACGAAAUGCGCAUCCUAGAU
rnacentral:hammerhead_ribozyme from 1 species